UACGUAGGUGGCAAGCGUUGUCCCGGAAUUAUUGGGCGUAAAGCGCGCGCAGGCGGUCCUUUAAGUCUGAUGUGAAAGCCCACGGCUCAACCGUGGAGGGUCAUUGGAAACUGGGGGGACUUAGUGCAGAAGAGGAAAGCGGAAUUCCACGUGUAGCGGUGAAAAUGCGUAGAGAUGUGGAGGAACACCCAGUGGCGAAGGCGGCUUUCUUGGUCUGUAACUGACGCUGAGGCGCGAAAAGCGUGGGGGAGCAAACAGG
rnacentral:rRNA from 1 species